rnacentral:rRNA from 1 species
ACAAUGGAGAGUUUGAUCCUGGCUCAGGAUGAACGCUAGCUACAGGCUUAACACAUGCAAGUCGAGGGGAAACGACAUCGAAAGCUUGCUUUUGAUGGGCGUCGACCGGCGCACGGGUGAGUAACGCGUAUCCAACCUGCCCACCACUUGGGGAUAACCUUGCGAAAGUAAGACUAAUACCCAAUGAUAUCUCUAGAAGACAUCUGAAAGGGAUUAAAGAUUUAUCGGUGAUGGAUGGGGAUGCGUCUGAUUAGCUUGUUGGCGGGGUAACGGCCCACCAAGGCGACGAUCAGUAGGGGUUCUGAGAGGAAGGUCCCCCACAUUGGAACUGAGACACGGUCCAAACUCCUACGGGAGGCAGCAGUGAGGAAUAUUGGUCAAUGGGCGAGAGCCUGAACCAGCCAAGUAGCGUGCAGGAUGACGGCCCUAUGGGUUGUAAACUGCUUUUAUAAGGGAAUAAAGUGAGAGUCGUGACUCUUUUUGCAUGUACCUUAUGAAUAAGGACCGGCUAAUUCCGUGCCAGCAGCCGCGGUAAUACGGAAGGUCCGGGCGUUAUCCGGAUUUAUUGGGUUUAAAGGGAGCGUAGGCCGGAGAUUAAGCGUGUUGUGAAAUGUAGA